rnacentral:lncRNA from 1 species
AGACCACCCAACAACACACCAUUUAUUCCACCUCAAUCCAACACCAUAAUCCCCACACUCCAUUCCCUCAAACAAACUACUUUUACAACCAAUAAUAUCAACAACAAACCAACCUACGCCCACCCAUACAAUACACUCUAAUUCCUCAACCCAACUUUGAUAAUUCAAACCCUCAUUCUCAACCACAAACAUUUAACACCACAUUCGCACAAUCCACUCCUACAUACAACCCUG